UGUCCAGUAGCACCUUAGAGACCAACUAAGCUUGUUCUGGGUAUAAGCUUUCAUGGGCCUGAAGAAGUGUGCAUGCACACGAAAGCUUAUACCCAGAACAAACUUAGUUGGUCUCUAAGGUGCUACUGGACA